rnacentral:misc_RNA from 1 species
GAUGAAGAACGUAGCGAAAUGCGAUACCUGGUGUGAAUUGCAGAAUCCCGCGAACCAUCGAGUCUUUGAACGCAAGUUGCGCCCGAGGCCACCCGGCCGAGGGCACGCCUGCCUGGGCGUCACGCCAAAACACGCUCCCACCCCCCCUCACCGGGGGAGCGGGACGCGGCGUCUGGCCCCCCGUGCCGCGAGGCGCGGUGGGCCGAAGAUCGGGCUGCCGGCGUACCGUGCCGGGCACAGCGCGUGGUGGAUCUCUACUCGGCGCAGUGCACCCGGCGCGUAGCCGGCGCAGCGGCCCCUAAGGACCCAACGAACGGAGCGCGAGCCGCUCCGACCGCGACCCCAGGGCAGGCGGGACUACCCGCUGAGUUUAAGCAUAUCAAUAAGCGGAGGA